AUUGAACGCUGGCGGCAGGCCUAACACAUGCAAGUCGAACGGUAACAGGAAGCAGCUUGCUGCUUCGCUGACGAGUGGCGGACGGGUGAGUAAUGUCUGGGAAACUGCCUGAUGGAGGGGGAUAACUACUGGAAACGGUAACUAAUACCGCAUAACGUCGCAAGACCAAAGAGGGGGACCUUAGGGCCUCUUGCCAUCGGAUGUGCCCAGAUGGGAUUAGCUAGUAGGUGGGGUAACGGCUCACCUAGGCGACGAUCCCUAGCUGGUCUGAGAGGAUGACAGGCCACACUGGAACGGAGACACGGUCCAGACGCCUACGGGAGGCAGCAGUGGGGAAUAUUGCACAAUGGGCGCAAGCCUGAUGCAGCCAUGCCGCGUGUAUGAAGAAGGCCUUCGGGUUGUAAAGUACUUUCAGCGGGGAGGAAGGGAGUAAAGUUAAUACCUUUGCUCAUUGACGGUACCCGCAGAAGAAGCACCGGCUAACUCCGUG
rnacentral:rRNA from 1 species